rnacentral:sRNA from 1 species
UUUUAUUUUGGCGGGAAAUUUUGU